AGAGUUUGAUCCUGGCUCAGGAUGAACGCUGGCGGCGUGCUUAACACAUGCAAGUCGAACGAAGCACUCUAUUUGAUUUUCUUCGGAAAUGAAGAUUUUGUGACUGAGUGGCGGACGGGUGAGUAACGCGUGGGUAACCUGCCUCAUACAGGGGGAUAACAGUUAGAAAUGACUGCUAAUACCGCAUAAGCGCACGGUACCGCAUGGUACAGUGUGAAAAACUCCGGUGGUGUGAGAUGGACCCGCGUCUGAUUAGCUAGUUGGUGAGGUAACGGCCCACCAAGGCGACGAUCAGUAGCCGACCUGAGAGGGUGACCGGCCACAUUGGGACUGAGACACGGCCCAAACUCCUACGGGAGGCAGCAGUGGGGAAUAUUGCACAAUGGGGGAAACCCUGAUGCAGCGACGCCGCGUGGAGGAAGAAGGUCUUCGGAUUGUAAACUCCUGUUGUUGAGGAAGAUAAUGACGGUACUCAACAAGGAAGUGACGGCUAACUACGUGCCAGCAGCCGCGGUAAAACGUAGGUCACAAGCGUUGUCCGGAAUUACUGGGUGUAAAGGGAGCGCAGGCGGGAGAACAAGUUGGAAGUGAAAUCCAUGGGCUCAACCCAUGAACUGCUUUCAAAACUGUUUUUUCUUGAGUAGUGCAGAGGUAGGCGGAAUUCCCGGUGUAGCGGUGGAAUGCGUAGAUAUCGGGAGGAACACCAGUGGCGAAGGCGGCCUACUGGGCACCAACUGACGCUGAGGCUCGAAAGUGUGGGUAGCAAACAGGAUUAGAUACCCUGGUAGUCCACACCGUAAACGAUGAUUACUAGGUGUUGGAGGAUUGACCCCUUCAGUGCCGCAGUUAACACAAUAAGUAAUCCACCUGGGGAGUACGACCGCAAGGUUGAAACUCAAAGGAAUUGACGGGGGCCCGCACAAGCAGUGGAGUAUGUGGUUUAAUUCGACGCAACGCGAAGAACCUUACCAAGUCUUGACAUCCCUUGACGAACAUAGAAAUAUGUUUUCUCUUCGGAGCAAGGAGACAGGUGGUGCAUGGUUGUCGUCAGCUCGUGUCGUGAGAUGUUGGGUUAAGUCCCGCAACGAGCGCAACCCUUAUGGUCAGUUACUACGCAAGAGGACUCUGGCCAGACUGCCGUUGACAAAACGGAGGAAGGUGGGGAUGACGUCAAAUCAUCAUGCCCUUUAUGACUUGGGCUACACACGUACUACAAUGGCGUUAAACAAAGAGAAGCAAGACCGCGAGGUGGAGCAAAACUCAGAAACAACGUCCCAGUUCGGACUGCAGGCUGCAACUCGCCUGCACGAAGUCGGAAUUGCUAGUAAUCGUGGAUCAGCAUGCCACGGUGAAUACGUUCCCGGGCCUUGUACACACCGCCCGUCACACCAUGAGAGCCGGGGGGACCCGAAGUCGGUAGUCUAACCGCAAGGAGGACGCCGCCGAAGGUAAAACUGGUGAUUGGGGUGAAGUCGUAACAAGGUAGCCGUAGGAGAACCUGCGGCUG
rnacentral:rRNA from 1 species